UUGCGAAACAGGGGGUUUCCCCUGUCUGCUGGAAAUGGCCUACCGGCACUGAUGAGCAAGGCCAAAA
rnacentral:hammerhead_ribozyme from 1 species